GCGUUAUGCACGCGAGCCACUCGUCUCGCCAUUACUUCCGCAUCACGUGACCUUUGUGUCCGGCUGGACUCUUGCUCAAAAUCAACACAGCAAAUAUGCGAGCCGCUCCCGAGGAACUAACCACGCUCAUUUCAGACCUUGAGACCUUCCUCAGAGAUGGCUUGAAAGGGGAAAAUCUGAGCAAAAAGGCAAAAGAUAAGAGAGAAGCAUUCAUUAAACGGAUUAAAGAGGUCAAAUUGGGCUUUCCACAUGAUUUCAAGGAAAAAAGUGGAGAGGAGUCAAGUGACGAUGAGGAGGAGGUGGACAGCAGCAACAAUGACGGUGGCUCACUGCAGUCUGAGCGCACUGACAGGGAGGAAGAGCCCUAUGAGGGUUCCCACCAGUGUCCACCAAUGGCAGCGCAAGACCUGCAGUCUAUUCUCAUGUCAGGAUACCUGGAGAAACGCAGGAAGGACCACAGUUUUUUUGGCCAGGAGUGGCAGAAGAGAUGGUGCGCUCUUAGCUAUCGGACCUUCUACUAUUAUGGCCACGAGAAAGACAAACAGCAGAAAGGUGAGUUCAGCAUCGAUGGCUACAAUGUCAAAAUGAACACCAACUUACGGAAAGACGCAAAGAAGGACUUUUGUUUUGAAGUCUCAGCUCCUGACAAGCGAGACUAUCAGUUUUGUGCGUCAUCGGCGAAAGAGGCGAAGGAGUGGGUGAAAUGGAUAGACCUUGUUUUGAAAGAUCAGUCUGGUAUCAUCCAAGAAGAAGAAGAAGAGGAGGAAGAGGUGGUUAAGGAGGAGGAGGAGGAACAGCUAAUGUACGAUGAUGUGGGACUUGCACCGGAUACAGACAUCUAUGAAGUGCUCCCAGACACAAACACCGACUACCAGAACUACUACCAGGGCUUAUGGGACUGUGUAGGGGACCACCCGGAUGAACUCUCUUUCAAGCGUGGAGACACCAUUUAUAUACUGAGCAAGGAGUACCAGAGCUAUGGUUGGUGGGUUGGAGAGAAAAAUGGAAAUAUCGGAAUUGUGCCCAGAGACUACUUACUGGAGCUCUAUGCUUUAUAAGUACAUCCCUGCACACGUUGACGCCUCCCCGCUCCUACUGACCUCACAUUCUAGUCACACACAAAGCCGUCUGCAGUAGCUUGAGUUCCAAGGACCGUUAACUCAUCUCGGCUGCCCCGUCAUGCUGAUUUUUGCAGCCCGCUGCAAGUCAAAGUACAUGACUGCAAGUUGGAGAUGACCACACCUUCCGACAGCUGAUGUCACAUCAUUGUUUUGAGACGUUAUCAAUGGUGCCUCUGCUAGUCAAGAAGUGCGGUGGUUCGCAAACUGGAGGGAGAGUACCUUAAGUGGCAGACAGCCUCCCGCUAGUGUUACAUGGUAGAAUCACUGAAUUAACUGUUCAAACCGUGAAUGUUUCAGUGGCUUCAACUUUUGUUUUUUAUUUUAAUCCAGUAGGGUAUAUUUGUUAAGUACAGUUCGGUUGUAUUUAAUUUUUAAGCACAAAACACUGGAAUUGAAUCUUUUACAACUGUUUGUUUUCAAGCAUUUAGCUGCAAUUUUUAUUGAACCUUUGCGUGGAAUACAUUUUUAUUGAUUCAUUAUUCCAGUACAGUUUUUUUCUCCUUUAUUGAAGCACCAUAUUCAUUUAAAAACUGGCCAUAAUGUUGCAGUGGGUUACAAUAAUAAGAAAAAAAAAACCUUUUGUUUUUGAGGAACACUUAGGCCUACUAUGCUAUUGUAUUUUAAUGUUGGCCGAUAUGGUGGUACUUAAAGAGCUUCGUAUUUUUGAGGUGGUACCUGGUGUAAAACGAUCUACUCAACUACCGUUUGCUUUAAACACUCAAAA